rnacentral:rRNA from 1 species
AACGAACGCUGGCGGCAGGCCUAACACAUGCAAGUCGAGCGAGGACUUCGGUACUAGCGGCGGACGGGUGAGUAACGCGUGGGAACGUGCCCUUUGCUUCGGACUAGCUCUGGGACACUGGGAGUAAUACCGGAUGAGCCCUAUUGGGGAAAGAUUUAUCGGGCAAGUAUCGGCCCGCGUUGGAUUCGGUUGUUAGUGGGGUAAUGGCCUACCACGCCGACGAUCCAUAGCUGGGUAGAGAGGAAGGUCAGCGACACUGGGACUGGGACACGGCCUAGACUCCUACGGGAGGGAGCAGUGGGUGAUCGUAGACAAUGGGGGAAACCCUGAUCGAGCCAGGCCGCGUGAGCGAUGAAGUCCUGAGGGUUGUAAAGCGCAUGCAGCUGGGAAGAUAAUGACGGUACCAGCAGAAGAAGCCCCGGCUAACUCCGUG